UUUCUCUAUUUGUAAGUCGUAACGUUUAAAUUUGGAAUUUUAUUUUAGACAGAUGCAUAGAUGAUAGAUUAAAGUUGUGUGUUUUGUUUAGUUGUAAAUUAUUAGUACAACAACAAUGAGUUUUUUUUUUUUAGCUACGAGAGAAACUUGCAGUCACUACUCGAGAAUGUGUGUUUGGUAAAUCUCGCCUUGUGAUUUUAGCCGAUAAAGGAGGUAACCAAUUUAGGUUGUCCAUUAUUGACCAGCUCAAACUAAAAACGCUAAAAGGCUGCUCCCGUUGAGAGUCAAACUUGUAAUAUUGUGAUUAUCAAAUUAACAGCCCGACCAACUUGACAAGCAUUAUUUUGAUAAUGCGAUAUAUGAUUCACGAGAACUUAAACAUAGGAAAUUAAAUAACAUAUAUAGUUAAAGGGAACAUUAUACUCCUUAAUUCACAAA